UUAGAGAAUGCCUGAAGCAGCAGCAAUAAUUCUACCUGUCUGGCACUGUUCCCUCGAAGCUGCGCGCGUGCGCAAUUGCGCACUGCUGACACGGUCUCCGCGAACAGAAACUCUGUGCUGCGCACAAAAAAAAAAGUCCAACCUAAAUUGUAAAUAAAAUAAACACGUAACAAUUCAUUCUGUGCUAUUUUUCAAUGUGAGUCAGUGAGUGACCGGUGACUGGCUGCUGCAGCCAAUGAUGCGAUUCACAUACGUAUUUACCAUAGACUGUAUAUAAUGGUAUUUACGCAGCUAAUCAACGUCAGGCGUCCUUAUGUGCAGCCAUCGUUGUUGUCAUAGAUAUGAAUGAGUAGAUAGGACACGCCCCUUUGAGCUGCGUGCUACUGCGAGGCUAAGCUAGUGGGGGCAAAGUUUCAGUGCAUUCCGUUGAUGUAGACGGCGUGAAAACGGAAACAACAAGUAUGCCGGCUCACUGUGCUGCAUACAAUUACACACUGCGUUGUACGAUUGAGACAAGGAAACUUGGAAUGACUUUUCAUAGGUAAGAAUAGUUUUUGGCCCUUUUUUCAUUAUGAAAUCUUGUUGAGAGCUUCCAGUCUAUGAGAGCUAACUAGUUAGCCACUAGCAAAACGCUAAGGCGAGCUAGCAGCUUGACAACCAAAUACCAGACGAUUAAUAGUAGCUGUAGUAUAGUUGUACAAGCAGUAGUAGUAAUACUAAAAGUACAAGCAGCAGUAGUAGUAUAAACAGCUGUUAGAGUCGUAGAAGUAGUAUCAGCAUUUGUAAUAGUAUUACAAGUUGUAGUAGCAGUGCCAGUAUCAGCAGCAGUAGUUAAUGUACUACCACUACUACUAGUAGUAGUCACAUUGCUAUUACUACCACCAAUACUACCAAUAGUAGUUAUAAAGCCUAACUCAUGUAUAUCCAGAUUACCAUCUAUGUUCUUCCUCCAAACCCAUUUUAUGAUUGGGAUUACAGGCAGUUCUUUAGGACUGCUCUCAAAUAAUUGAAAUGUUACUAAACAAGGUUAUACUUAUCAAAUUAAAUAGCUCUGGUCUCCAGUAUAUUGGCGAAUUCGGUUCUUUGUACUUAAUUUAUUAGCAUUAUUUCUUUUUUUAAUAUGUUGUGUAUAGACUUAAUUACUUCUCUGUCUACUUUUCUUACUCCAUGUAGGUUUCCCAGAGACUAUGGGUUGAGGAGGAAUUGGAAGUUUGUCGGCUUAGACUUGGUGUCAUUCCAUCAGUGUUAAACUUCCUGGUUCAUCUUGGAAGAGUACGUGCCAGAAAGACCACAACCAAUCAGCCUUGAGAUCUUAGGCAGCGUCUCCCUGAGGUCCCUCUCUAUCUCUCCACACAUCUACCAACCACUGGAACACAUCUCCAAAGUUCUGCCAGGCCAGCUCAGCUUCCCCUCAGAAGAAGUUCCGCCACCUGCCAGAUGAAGGAGCCUUUUGAGAGGCAGCUGGCAUCGUGAUUGGACUGUACUUUGGUCUGUUCCAAUCCAGCUUCAGCUCCAGAGACGGCAGGCGGGACGAGUCAACGGAGGCCGGGUGGACGAAGGUAUGCAGCUGACUACAAUCCAGAAAACAACAGAGGAGGAGUGCAGCGGCCCAGGACCAGAACAACCAGAGUAGCAUGACCAAAGAACUACAGACUCUUCACAACCUGCUCAAACUCUUGGUACAGGACCUCACCACACGGGUCAAGAAGGUUUCUGUCUCAUAUCUACUCUGAAGCUCACCUUCUCCUGCUCAAACUGCUGACAAAUGUUUCUGCUGCUCUAAAGUCUGGUCUCCAGAACUUCCUAAAAACUCUCAAAGUCUCUUCUGCUGCAGGUUGCUAUGUAGAACUGUUGCAGAAAACCUCACUAAACCACAUGGAGGGGCCUCAAGAUAGUCGUCCAAAUGAAACUGUACAAAAACCAAACUAGUACAACCCAAACACUAAAGUCUCCUGCAGCCUACCAGAGAACCUCUGAGAACAGAGAAUCAGGACAGGAACUCUUACCUUCUGGACAACCAACAUUGGUUCUCAAACAAGAAUACAGAUUGUGUCUGACCAAAAACCUCUGAAGACUCACUACAGCCAAGAUAAAGACACAACUCAGCUGCAGCAAAUCCACUAAUCACUGCACACAUUAGCACCAUGUGCUAACUGUGGCUAAAGAACCACAUUUACCAAGACAACUAUCCAGUACAAAGCCCUCAAACACACCAAGAAACACAUUAAAGACGAUUUUACUGCUGAAAGCUGCAAGCCAACGCUUAAAGAACAAACUAAAGCAAUGGAGCCAAACCCGGUUCAGUGGUGAAGCAGAGGAAAUGUUUGACUGCAGCUAAAUAAAGCAGGGAGACACUGAGCUGCUCAGGUGUUCCUGAUAAUACCAAGCAGCCACCUGGACAGCCAAUAGGAACACAGCUUCCUGGAAGUCCAGAGGGCUGGGUUAGUGAAGGAAAUUUAAUUUAAAGUUCAAGCAGAAAGUUAAUAAAGAAAGUUGAAAGCCACCUUUUGAUCCCUGAAAUCUCUGAGUUUUCACACAAAGAACACCUGAACAUGUCAAACUGGCUUCAUAGUAGAACCAUCAUUGUAAAAACGUCAUAGUAUGGUGUGUUGCUCAAAAAACAUUAGGACCCAGCUGUCAGGGGACAAACAUGUAAGAAACAUGAGAACAGAGAGAACCCAACCAGUAGGUCACAGUUUAUCAUCCCCCAGUCAUCUCCUGAAGUCCAUAUGGUGAGAGACAUCAGUAUCUGGUUGUUAAUUUACCAGAGGAUGCUUAUAAUCAUGCUGAUGUGGUCUGUACUCUGCAGUAUUUUAGUGACUCAAUAAAUGCCUAAGUUGUUUUUUUUUAA